rnacentral:rRNA from 1 species
AGUGAACGCUGGCGGUAGGCCUAACACAUGCAAGUCGAACGGCAGCACAGGAGAGCUUGCUCUCUGGGUGGCGAGUGGCGGACGGGUGAGGAAUACAUCGGAAUCUACUCUGUCGUGGGGGAUAACGUAGGGAAACUUACGCUAAUACUGCAUACGACCUACGGGUGAAAGCAGGGGACCUUCGGGCCUUGCGCGAUUGAAUGAGCCGAUGUCGGAUUAGCUAGUUGGCGGGGUAAAGGCCCACCAAGGCGACGAUCCGUAGCUGGUCUGAGAGGAUGAUCAGCCACACUGGAACUGAGACACGGUCCAGACUCCUACGGGAGUCAGCAGUGGGGAAUAUUGGACAAUGGGCGCAAGCCUGAUCCAGCCAUACCGCGUGGGUGAAGAAGGCCUUCGGGUUGUAAAGCCCUUUUGUUGGGAAAGGAAUCCAGCUGGCUAAUACCCGGUUGGGAUGACGGUACCCAAAGAAUAAGCACCGGCUAACUUCGUGCCAGCCGCCGCCGUAA